UCGUAAUGCAAUGUUUCGAUCAACUGAACUUAGAUCCAAAGAGAUUAUAUUACGGUAGUCGGUAGAAAAAGCUCAGUACUUGAAAAUAUAUUUUCGUCCUUCCAAUUUCAAAAUAUACAACACAAUACGUCAAACGCUACGACAGCUCGUCAAAACUAUUUAUAGGAAAGUGUGAACGGUUUAAUUGCGAUACUAAAAUGAUUGGAAGAAAUUUUCUAACUUUAAUACGUCGCUCUGCAUGUCGGCCUGCGAUACAAGCUCCGAAGCGUAACUUCGCUCAAGUUGGAUUGGCUGUCUCAACACCACCUCGGUGCCCGUGUUCGUAUGGGGAAAAAAUUCUACAUGCCUUAUUCAUGUUGGUGGUGUGGCUGAGCCCCAUGGCUUAUUUUUUGACGCAAAUAAAAGUAUGGAGGAGAGAGUACAUCGAUUGAAGAGUUUUUCUAGCUUUAGAAAAUUGAAAUUUCUUAUAAAUUAAUACCUAGAACCGA